GACGAACGCUGGCGGCGUGCUUAACACAUGCAAGUCGAACGGAAAGGCCCUGCUUUUGUGGGGUGCUCGAGUGGCGAACGGGUGAGUAACACGUGAGUAACCUGCCCUUGACUUUGGGAUAACUUCAGGAAACUGGGGCUAAUACCGGAUAGGAGCUCCUGCUGCAUGGUGGGGGGUGGAAAGUUUCGGCGGUUGGGGAUGGACUGGCGGCUUAUCAGCUUGUUGGUGGGGUAGGGGCUUACCAAGGCUUUGACGGGUAGCCGGCCUGAGAGGGUGAACGGCGACAUUGGGACUGAGAGACGGCCCAGUCUCCUACGUGAGGCAGCAGUCGGGAAUAUUGCACAAUGGGCGCACGCCUGAUGCAGCGACGCCGCGUGCGGGAUGCCGGCCUUCGGGUUGUAAACCGCUUUCGCCUGUUACGAAGCGUGAGUGACGGUAAUGGGUAAAGAAGCACCGGCUAACUACGUG
rnacentral:rRNA from 1 species